rnacentral:rRNA from 1 species
GGAGUUAGCCGGUGCUCCUUCUGUGAGUGAUGUCCUUCCUGCCGGCUAUUAACCCGCAGGCCUUCUUCCUCACUGAAAGUGCUUUACAACCCGAAGGCCUUCUUCACACACGCGGCAUGGCUGGAUCAGGGUUGCCCCCAUUGUCCAAUAUUCCCCACUGCUGCCUCCCGUAGGAGUCUGGGCCGUGUCUCAGUCCCAGUGUGGCUGAUCAUCCUCUCAGACCAGCUACGGAUCGUCGCCUUGGUGAGCCGUUACCUCACCAACCAGCUAAUCCGACAUAGGCUCAUACGAUAGCGCGAGGCCCGAAGGUCCCCCGCUUUCCCCCGUAGGGCGUAUGCGGUAUUAGCCUGGGUUUCCCCAGGUUAUCCCCCACUACCGGGCAGAUUCCUAUGCAUUACUCACCCGUCCGCCGCUCGCCACCAGGGAGCAAGCUCCCCGUGCUGCCGCUCGACUUGCAUGUGUUAGGCCUGCCGCCAGCGUUCAAUCUGAGCCAGGAUCAAACUCUGA